UACAGAGGUCUCGAGCGUUGUUCGGAUUCAUUGGGCGUAAAGGGUGCGUAGGUGGCGCUGUAAGUCGGGUGUGAAAUCCUGAGGCUUAACCUCGGAACUGCAUUCGAUACUGCGGCGCUUGAGGACUGGAGAGGAGACUGGAAUUCAUGGUGUAGCAGUGAAAUGCGUAGAUAUCUGGAGGAACACCGGUGGCGAAGGCGGCGUUCUGGACUGCAUCUGACACUGAGAGACGAAAGCCAGGGGAGCAAACGGG
rnacentral:rRNA from 1 species